rnacentral:rRNA from 1 species
UACAGAGGGUGCGAGCGUUGUUCGGAAUUAUUGGGCGUAAAGGGCGCGUAGGCGGUGCGGUAAGUCACCUGUGAAAUCUCCUGGCUCAACUGGGAGCUUGCAGGCGAAACUGCCGUGCUGGAGUGUGGGAGAGGUGCGUGGAAUUCCUGGUGUAGCGGUGAAAUGCGUAGAUAUCAGGAGGAACACCUGUGGCGAAGGCGAUCAUCUGGGGUUGUUCUGACACUGAGGAGCGAAAGCUAGGGGAGCAAACGGG